UUUUUUUAUUUUUAUUUUUCGUUAUGCCAUUGAGAGAGAGAGAGAGGCUUGUGAGAAAUUGGGAUGGGUUUGUGUUCAGAGCUUUAAAGAAAAGGACGCAGGCGAAGAAGAUCAAAAGGUUGUGAAAAGGACACACACUUCCAUUAAGCUUUCUUCUCUCUAUAACGACGACGACGACGAUGACCCCAAGGCAUAAUAUAUGUACAACACAUUUUAUUGGUUUAGUCAGUGAAC
rnacentral:lncRNA from 1 species